rnacentral:rRNA from 1 species
UGCCAGACUCCUACGGGAGGCAGCAGUGGGGAAUAUUGCACAAUGGGGGAAACCCUGAUGCAGCAACGCCGCGUGAGUGAAGAAGUAUUUCGGUAUGUAAAGCCCUAUCGGCAGGGAAGAAGCAAGACGGUACCUGACUAAGAAGCCCCGGCUAACUACGUGCCAGCAGCCGCGGUAAUACGUAGGGGGGGAGCGUUAUCCGGAUUUACUGGGUGUAAAGGGGGCGUAGACGGCAGCGCAAGUCUGGAGUGAAAUGCCGGGGCCCAACCCCGGAACUGCUUUGGAAACUGUGCAGCUGGAGUGCAGGAGAGGUAAGCGGAAUUCCUAGUGUAGCGGUGAAAUGCGUAGAUAUUAGGAGGAACACCAGUGGCGAAGGCGGCUUACUGGACUGUAACUGACGUUGAGGCUCGAAAGCGUGGGGAGCAAACAGGAUUAGAUACCCGAGUAAGA